rnacentral:rRNA from 1 species
AUUGAACGCUGGCGGCAUGCUUUACACAUGCAAGUCGAACGGUAACAGGCCUUCGGGUGCUGACGAGUGGCGAACGGGUGAGUAAUGCAUCGGAACGUACCCAGAGGUGGGGGAUAACGCAGCGAAAGCUGUGCUAAUACCGCAUGUGAUCUGAGGAUGAAAGCGGGGGACCGAGCAGCAAUGUUUGGCCUCGCGCCUUUGGAGCGGCCGAUGUCGGAUUAGCUAGUUGGUGGGGUAAAGGCCUACCAAGGCGACGAUCCGUAGCUGGUCUGAGAGGACGACCAGCCACACUGGGACUGAGACACGGCCCAGACUCCUACGGGAGGCAGCAGUGGGGAAUUUUGGACAAUGGGCGCAAGCCUGAUCCAGCAAUGCUGCGUGCGGGAAGAAGGCCUUCGGGUUGUAAACCGCUUUUGGCAGGAACGAAACGGUGUCCGCUAAUACCGGGCGCUAAUGACGGUACCUGCAGAAUAAGCACCGGCUAACUACGUG